AUUGAACGCUGGCGGCAUGCCUUACACAUGCAAGUCGAACGGUAACGGGCCUUCGGGUGCCGACGAGUGGCGAACGGGUGAGUAAUGUAUCGGAACGUACCUUUCAGUGGGGGAUAACGUAGCGAAAGUUACGCUAAUACCGCAUAUUCUGUGAGCAGGAAAGCGGGGGAUAGCAAGACCUUGCGCUGAUUGAGCGGCCGAUAUCAGAUUAGCUAGUUGGUGAGGUAAAGGCUCACCAAGGCGACGAUCUGUAGCGGGUCUGAGAGGAUGAUCGGCCACACUGGAAGUGCAACACGGUCAAGACUCCUACGGGAGGCAGCAGUGGGGAAUUUUGGACAAUGGGCGCAACCCUGAUCCAGCCAUGCCGCGAGAGUGAAGUAGGCCGUCGGGUUGGAAAGCUCUUUCGGCCGGGAAGAAAUCGUAUCAGCUAAUACCUGGUGCGGAUGACGGUACCGGCAUAAGAAGCACCGGCUAACUACGUGCCAGCCGCCGCCGUAAGAC
rnacentral:rRNA from 1 species